AACGAACGCUGGCGGCAUGCCUAACACAUGCAAGUCGAACGCUGCACCGGGGCUUGCCCUGGUGUGGAGUGGCGCACGGGUGAGUAGCGCGUGGGAACCUGUCCUCUUGUGGGGGAUAACCGAGGGAAACUUCGGCUAAUACCGCAUGCGCCCGGUGGUGCUCCUUUGGGAGCGAUCUCCGGGGAAAGAUUUAUCGCAGGAGGAGGGGCCCGCGUCGGAUUAGCUUGUUGGCGGGGUAACGGCCCACCAAGGCUUUGAUCCGUAGCUGGUCUGAGAGGAUGAUCAGCCACACUGGGACUGAGACACGGCCCAGACUCCUACGGGAGGCAGCAGUGGGGAAUAUUGGACAAUGGGCGCAAGCCUGAUCCAGCAAUGCCGCGUGAGUGAUGAAGGCCUUCGGGUUGUAAAGCUCUUUCGCCCGCGACGAUGAUGACGGUAGCGGGAGAAGAAGCCCCGGCUAACUUCGUGCCAGCAGCCGCGGUAAUACGAAGGGGGCGAGCGUUGUUCGGAUUUACUGGGCGUAAAGGGCGCGUAGGCGGCGUGGGAAGUCAGGCGUGAAAGCCCCGGGCUCAACCUGGGAACUGCGCUUGGGACUCUCAGGCUGGAGUUCGGGAGAGGAGCGUGGAAUUCCCAGUGUAGAGGUGAAAUUCGUAGAUAUUGGGAAGAACACCGGUGGCGAAGGCGGCGGUCUGGACCGAGACUGACGCUGAGGCGCGAAAGCGUGGGGA
rnacentral:rRNA from 1 species